UACGGAGGGGGCAAGCGUUGUUCGGAAUCACUGGGCGUAAAGGGUGCGUAGGCGGGUCUUUAAGUCAGGGGUGAAAUCCUGGAGCUCAACUCCAGAACUGCCUUUGAUACUGAAGAUCUUGAGUUCGGGAGAGGUGAGUGGAACUGCGAGUGUAGAGGUGAAAUUCGUAGAUAUUCGCAAGAACACCAGUGGCGAAGGCGGCUCACUGGCCCGAUACUGACGCUGAGGCACGAAAGCGUGGGGAGCAAACAGG
rnacentral:rRNA from 1 species